rnacentral:lncRNA from 1 species
CAGCAAAGAAUAUACCCACGGCCCUUGAGAGUCCUGUCAUGAAUGGCGUGGUAAGUAUCCGCUAGCAAAGUAGGAACCGGGUUCUUGGAAUGAAAGAUCUCGAUAGCAUUCAUGUCCACGAAGUUGUCGAGGUUCGGAAAGAGAAUGAGCCCGUAGAUAAGCAAAGCAAGAAUAGCCUCGAGUGUAUCCUGACGAGUAGUACCGAGAUUAGCCUGAUCAAGAAGAUAC